rnacentral:lncRNA from 10 species
GCUUCUCACUCUGACUCCAACAGGGUGAGCUUGCUAUCCUUGUGGCACAGGGCCUUUUGCAUUGUGGAUGAUGGAGCGGCUCGUAUAGUCCAUAAGUUUUGUGCGUAGCUGUGUACCCUGUCCCUGUGAGCUGGUUCUGCCCGGCACCUCGGUGACCUCGAGGAAAGAAGCUGAGAGACAGAGUCUUGCUUUGUCACCCAGGCUGGAGGGCAGUGGCACCAUCAUAGCUCACUGCAGACUCGAACUCCUGGGCUCAAGGGAUCCUCCUGCCUCGGCCUCCAAAAAUGGUGAGAUUAUGGACAUGAGACACUGCACUGGGCCUAUUGUGUAUCUUGUUGGCCUAAAAUUGAAACAUGCCUUGUGAGCGUUUACUGCAACUUCAAUGAGUGAUUAUUAUGUUGCCUUUAAUCCUGAGAGACUGUAUUACUUGUGCACUUUUUUUUUUUUUGGAUAGGGGGAAAUUAGAUUUAUUCCCUAUAUGUUUUAGAAAAUUGAAGUUUUAAAUAUCAGACUCACUA